UACGUAUGGGGCAAGCGUUGUCCGGAAUCAUUGGGCGUAAAGAGCGUGUAGGCGGCCAGAAAAGUCCGCUGUGAAAACUCGAGGCUCAACUUCGAGCUGUCGGUGGAAACUUUCUGGCUAGAGUCCGGAAGAGGAGAAUGGAAUUCCUGGUGUAGCGGUGAAAUGCGCAGAUAUCAGGAAGAACACCCGUGGCGAAGGCGGUUCUCUGGGACGGUACUGACGCUGAGACGCGAAAGCGUGGGGAGCGAACAGG
rnacentral:rRNA from 1 species